CCGACCUUGAAAUACCACCCUUUAAUGUUUGAUGUUCUAACGUGGACCCGUAAUCCGGGUUGCGGACAGUGUCUGGUGGGUAGUUUGACUGGGGCGGUCUCCUCCUAAAGAGUAACGGAGGAGCACGAAGGUUGGCUAAUCCUGGUCGGACAUCAGGAGGUUAGUGCAAUGGCAUAAGCCAGCUUGACUGCGAGCGUGACGGCGCGAGCAGGUGCGAAAGCAGGUCAUAGUGAUCCGGUGGUUCUGAAUGGAAGGGCCAUCGCUCAACGGAUAAAAGGUACUCCGGGGAUAACAGGCUGAUACCGCCCAAGAGUUCAUAUCGACGGCGGUGUUUGGCACCUCGAUGUCGGCUCAUCACAUCCUGGGGCUGAAGUAGGUCCCAAGGGUAUGGCUGUUCGCCAUUUAAAGUGGUACGCGAGCUGGGUUUAGAACGUCGUGAGACAGUUCGGUCCCUAUCUGCCGUGGGCGCUGGAGAACUGAGGGGGGCUGCUCCUAGUACGAGAGGACCGGAGUGGACGCAUCACUGGUGUUCGGGUUGUCAUGCCAAUGGCACUGCCCGGUAGCUAAAUGCGGAAGAGAUAAGUGCUGAAAGCAUCUAAGCACGAAACUUGCCCCGAGAUGAGUUCUCCCUGAGACUUUAGGUCUCCUGAAGGAACGUUGAAGACGACGACGUUGAUAGGCCGGGUGUGUAAGCGCAGCGAUGCGUUGAGCUAACCGGUACUAAUGAACCGUGAGG
rnacentral:rRNA from 1 species